GAAAUGCGAUAAGUAAUGUGAAUUGCAGAAUUCAGUGAAUCAUCGAAUCUUUGAACGCACAUUGCGCCCGCCAGUAUUCUGGCGGGCAUGCCUGUUCGAGCGUCAUUACAACCCUCAGGCCCCCGGGCCUGGCGUUGGGGAUCGGCGGAAGCCCCCUGCGGGCACAACGCCGUCCCCCAAAUACAGUGGCGGUCCCGCCGCAGCUUCCAUUGCGUAGUAGCUAAUACCUCGCAACUGGAGAGCGGCGCGGCCACGCCGUAAAACACCCAACUUCUGAAUGUUGACCUCGAAUCAGGUAGGAAUACCCGCUGAACUUAAGC
rnacentral:misc_RNA from 1 species